rnacentral:rRNA from 1 species
GAUGAACGCUGACAGAAUGCUUAACACAUGCAAGUCAACUUGAACUUCGGUUUGGGUGGCGGCCGGGUGAGUAACGCGUAAAGAACUUGCCUCACAGUUAGGGACAACAUUUGGAAACGAAUGCUAAUACCUGAUAUUAUGAUUUUAGGGCAUCCUAGAAUUAUGAAAGCUAUAUGCGCUGUGAGAGAGCUUUGCGUCCCAUUAGCUAGUUGGAGAGGUAACGGCUCACCAAGGCGAGGAUGGGUAGCCGGCCUGAGAGGGUGAACGGCCACAAGGGGACUGAGACACGGCCCUUACUCCUACGGGAGGCAGCAGUGGGGAAUAUAGGAAAAUGGACCAAGAGUCUGAUCCAGCAAUUCUGUGUGCACGAUGAAGUUUUUCGGAAUGUAAAGUGCUUUCAGUUGAGAAGAAAAAAAUGACGGUACCAACAGAAGAAGUGACGGCUAAAUACGUG